rnacentral:lncRNA from 1 species
AGAAGCAGACAGGACUGAGGCUCCCUGAGAUGCAGAAACUGAGGCACAGAGCAAGGAUGUGCCACAGCAGAAGCAAGUUGUGUUGGCAGUAGGAAACAAGAUAAAGAGAAGAACUCAAAGAAUUGAGAGAAGGCUUUGAACAUGAUGAUGGAGAAAUAACACUCUUGGGAGAAAUGAAGAUACUUUCUCCUCCCUGGUUUACCUGAGUUUCCAGCACCCAGUGAUAAGAAAGGAUGGCAUUAGUGAUGUGUACACCUGCAGUGAUAGCUUCACCUUUCUAAAGCAGAUGCCGUGGUAGACAUUUUGCCAGCCCUCCUUUCACUAUACACACAGCUUGGUGUACGCUGGCAGACUUUUGACCUAAUUUCUUAACCCUCAAAUAUUCCAAGACAGAACAAAGCACACAACAAAACCAGAAUGAGGCCGGGCAAAGUGGCUCAUGCCCGUAAUCCCAGCACUUUGGGAGGCUAAGGGGUGGGCAGAUCACUUGAGGUCAGGAGUUUGAGACCAGCCUAGGCAACAUGGUGAAACCCAGUCUCUACUGAAAAUACAAAAAUCAGCCGGGUGUGGUGGCAAAUGCCUGUAAUCCCAGCUACUGGGGAGGCUGAGACACAAGAAUCACUUGAACCCAGGAGGGGGAGUUUGCAGUGAGCCGAGAUUGUGCCACUGCAUGCCAGUCUGAACAACAGAGCAAGACUCUGUCACAAAAACAAACAAAAAACUGAAUGAAUGGAAGCAGAUAAGUGCAGAGAGA